AUUGAACGCUGGCGGCAGGCCUAACACAUGCAAGUCGAACGAGUGGCGGACGGGUGAGUAAUGUCGGGGAAACUGACUGAUGGAGGGGGAUACCUACUGGAAACGGUAGCUACAACCACAUACAAUCAGAUGUGCCCAGAUGGGAUUAGCUUGUGGGUGGGGUAGCGGCUCACCAAGGCGACGAUCCCUAGCUGGUCUGAGAGGAGGACCAGCCACACUGGAACUGGGACACGGUCCAGACUCCUACGGGAGGCAGCAGUGGGGAAUAUUGCACAAUGGGCGAAAGCCUGAUGCAGCCAUGCCGCGUGUAUGAUGAAGGCCUUCGGGUUGUAAAGUACUUUCAGCGGGGAGGCGUUACCCGCAGAAGAAGCACCGGCUAACUCCGUGCCAGCAGCCGCGGUAAUAC
rnacentral:rRNA from 1 species